rnacentral:rRNA from 1 species
UACGUAGGGACCAAGCGUUGUUCGGAUUUACUGGGCGUAAAGGGCGCGUAGGCGGCGUGUCGAGUCAAUUGUGAAAUCUCCGGGCUUAACUCGGAACGGUCAAUUGAUACUGAUGUGCUAGAGUGCAGAAGGGGCAAUCGGAAUUCUUGGUGUAGCGGUGAAAUGCGUAGAUAUCAAGAGGAACACCUGAGGUGAAGACGGGUUGCUGGGCUGACACUGACGCUGAGGCGCGAAAGCUAGGGUAGCAAACGGG